UUCAGUAUGGAGGGCAGAGAGUGGAACAUGGAAAUUGCUUUAGAAGGAAGUUUUGCUGAUUCUUGGAGCCCCUCCUGGAUGGCAGUGCCUGAGGCUACUCCUUCACUUGCUUUAGUGGGGAGUCAAAUCCCAUGAGGAGGAAGGAGACAAAGUAGAAAGGGGGUCGCAGAUAGAGAGUGGGUUAGAAAGCUGACCACGGCAGGUGGCAAGAGAAGCUGAUAGCUCACUCGUACAGGAUGCCUGCAGAGAGACACUACAGAGUGAUCGCAUCUCCCUUCCUGAGUUCCAAGGUUAUCGUCUGGCCUCCUGUCCAGUUGACCAACACUUGCUCCAUAGGCUUUGACUCCUCCACACUUCCAGGUUGCAUCAUCUGGUCCCUGCAUCAGCUGUGGGAGAGGCUAGAUCUAAGACAGCAGCUGAAGCAUCUGUGGCAUAAGCCAGGAUCUUCAGGACAAGUCAGUGAGUGGGUGUGGGGUGAGUGGCCCUUCCCACAUCCCUGCCUGAAACUUGCAGCGCUGGAAGUUUGGCCAGUGGGUUCUGUAGCAUCGUUUAGCUAGAAACCCACAGCUUCUUGUGCACCUAGAGCAAGUGAUAUGUUCAAGUCGAUGCUGGUGUGGCCAUGCCCUGCAGGUGUGCGAAUGAAGUCAGCAUUCCAUCCCUCUGCAGCUACAAGACAGUACAAGCCCUCAGCUAGAAGAAGGGAGCAGGCUUCCCAGGGAUAUCAACUGAAGAUGCAAGAAGAGGCACAAACCUUCACAUCAAGGCUGGAUGAGGCAUCCUAGUAGGAGGACAAGCAUCUUAAGAGGAGGUCGGGCUACAGUAAUGAAGAAGUGACCAUGCAUAGCAAGCAGGUGAGUAUUUAUUGUUGAGGCAUUUUCUAAGUACUUUGAGCAUAUUCACUCACAUAAUUAUUAGCAAGCAUGCGUUUUGCACAUGGGAGAGAUGUAUUUGUGGAAUGGAUUUUGGUACCAAGCAAACAUUUCCCAGUAAAUCUUGUCAAUCUAGAUGGAGUGUUAGAAAUGUUCCUAUGGGGCAAAAAUCUGACAGUAAGUAGGUUUAAAGAAGUCUUCCUUUUAGCCACUUUUAGACAGGGACACUGAGGGAAGUUGUUUCUAAAUGCUCAAGA